rnacentral:rRNA from 1 species
CAGCCGCCGCGGUAAUGCGAAGGGUGCAAGCGUUAAUCGGAAUUACUGGGCGUAAAGCGUGCGUAGGCGGUUUGUUAAGUCUGUUGUGAAAUCCCCGGGCUCAACCUGGGAAUGGCAAUGGAUACUGGCAAGCUAGAGUGUGUCAGAGGAUGGUGGAAUUCCCGGUGUAGCGGUGAAAUGCGUAGAGAUCGGGAGGAACAUCAGUGGCGAAGGCGGCCAUCUGGGACAACACUGACGCUGAGGCACGAAAGCGUGGGGAGCAAACAGGAUUAGAUACCCGAGUAGUCCCUGUCUCUUAUAC